rnacentral:sRNA from 1 species
ACUGGGAGCUAAUGUGGAUUAAUGUUUUCCAACAAAACUGGAUGCAGGCAUAUUACUAUUCAGAUCUGCUUUGCAAAGAGAGUAAAUGGUCCAAGGCAACAUAUGUGUUCUUGAAAGCGGCAAUUUUGAGUAUGCUUCCAGAGGAGGAUGUAGUAGCAACUAAUGAGAAUGUGGUAACUUUAUUCAGGUUACCAGGUGAUGCUGCUGCUGGUGGUCUGUGAAGUUCACUGUGAAAACCACAGGUACAAAUAAUGUAUGUGUUGCUAUGACCUUUCUCUGGGGCUGGGCUGGGGCUCUUCACAGACAGGUGGACAGCUUGAAGCAGAGAAUUGCCGGGAAAUCUAUCCCUACUGAGAAGUUUGCUGUGAGGAAGGCUCGGCGUUACUCCGCCUCCUUACCUGCACCUGUGAAGCUCAUCUUACCUGCCCUGGAAAUGAUGUAUGUCUGGAAUGGUUUUUCAAUAGUGAGCAAAAGAAAAGACCUUUCUGAAAAUCUGUUGGUAACUGUUGAAAAAGCUGAGGCAGCUUUACAAAGUCAAAAUUUUAACAGCUUCUCUGUGGAUGAUGAGUGCUUAGUGAAGUUACUUAAAGGAUGUUGCCUCAAGAACUUACAGCGGCCCUUGCAAGCUGAACUAUGUUACAGUCAUGUUGUAGAAAGUGAAAAGCUACUGAAGUAUGACCACUACCUAGUGCCGUUCACUCUGUUUGAAUUGGCAUCUUUGUAUAAAAGCCAGGGGAAAACUGACAAGGCCAUAAAGUUCCUAGAAACUGCAAGGAACAACUACAAAGAUUACUCCUUGGAGUCCAGACUACAUUUCAGAAUUCAGGCAGCUCUUCACCUCUGGAGAAAACCUUCCUCAGAUUGAUCAGAAGUUGAAGGAUGGAAUUUUCCCUCAAUUACUAUCGGCAUCUGCUAUAGAUUCAACCUUAUAUUAAAGUGGAAAAAUGAUCUUGUGAAUAAGAGACAAAAAACCAGUUUUUUUGUCAAUAUUUUCUAUCAUCUGAGAGAUUUACUGUUGGUCUACAUAAUUUUUUUUCCUAUGGAAUGGCAUUCUAUAUUAUCUAGAAAAUUCUUAUAUUUUGCCUCCCCCAAAAGAAUUUCAUAUUAUUUGAAUUAGGGGGUGAAGAAGUCUUUUGAAAGACUUGCAGAUGCAAUAGUCUAAUUAGAUUAUUUAUUUUUUUAAUGUGGAAAUUAAUAUUGUUUAGCAAAUAGCUUACAAGUUGAGCCAAUUUUGGAUUUGUUGGGUAGCUAAACUUCAGAGAUAUUUUGUUGCCUAGUAUUUAAAUUUCAGAAGAUAAAUAAAUAUCAUUUCAUUUAAAA